rnacentral:rRNA from 1 species
AGAGUUUGAUCCUGGCUCAGAUUGAACGCUGGCGGUAUGCCUUACACAUGCAAGUCGAACGGUAGAGGGGCAACCCUUGAGAGUGGCGAACGGGUGAGUAAUACAUCGGAACGUGCCCAGUCGUGGGGGAUAACGUAGCGAAAGCUACGCUAAUACCGCAUACGACCCGAGGGUGAAAGCGGGGGACUCGCAAGAGCCUCGCGCGAUUGGAGCGGCCGAUGGCAGAUUAGGUAGUUGGUGGGGUAAAGGCCCACCAAGCCUGCGAUCUGUAGCUGGUCUGAGAGGACGACCAGCCACACUGGGACUGAGACACGGCCCAGACUCCUACGGGAGGCAGCAGUGGGGAAUUUUGGACAAUGGGCGAAAGCCUGAUCCAGCCAUACCGCGUGCGGGAAGAAGGCCUUCGGGUUGUAAACCGCUUUUGUCAGGGAAGAAAUCCUUUGGGUUAAUACCUCGGAGGGAUGACGGUACCUGAAGAAUAAGCACCGGCUAACUACGUGC